CCCUUAGAUGUCCUGGGCUGCACGCGCGCUACACUGAUGUGUCCAGUAAGCACCUAACCUCUUCCGAAAGGAACGGGUAACCUUUGCAAAGCACAUCGUGAUGGGGAUAGAUUAUUGCAAUUAUUAGUCUUGAACGAGGAAUUCCUAGUAAGCACAAGUCAUCAGCUUGUGUUGAUUACGUCCCUGCCCCUUGUACACACCGCCCGUCGCUCCUACCGAUUGAAUGUUCCGGUGAGCUCUUCGGACUGCGCGGUCUGCAGUUUCUGCGUUCCGUGCGGAAAGUUGCGCAAACCUUAACAUUUAGAGGAAGGAGAAGUCGUAACA
rnacentral:rRNA from 1 species